UCCCUGGUGGCUCAGAUGGUAAAGCAUCUGUCUACAAUGCAGAAGACCCAGGUUCGAUCCCUGGGUUGGGAA
rnacentral:tRNA from 1 species